ACAUAUGCACGCACAAAAAGAAGAUCCUUUCCGCGCCUCCUUCCGGGAGAGUAGUGAAACGGUAACAAUGAAAAUAUCAUACGUAUAUACAUACAUGUUUGUUUUGUUUUAUUCGAUACAUAUUAUAAUAUACACGAAAUACGUAUACAUAUAUAUAUAUAUAUAUACAUAGAUCGCAUCUAAUGGAUACGCCAGACAGGAAACGGGUACUGGAAAAAAAAAAAAAAUAAUAAGAAAAAAAACUAAAAAAAAAAAAAAAAAUAAGGAAACGGUCCCCCCGCGACCGCGGAGGUGGUGUUCUUGGAAUGUGAAGGUAGUACUUAUAAAAUAAUAUUAUAACG